AUUUUUAAAAAUGGAGGGAAUUUUUGGUUUGUUCUGAUUGGCUGAGUUGAGGAACUAUUGGUCUAGAAAAAUGUAUAAAUUUAGAGAGUUGCUGAGGGUUCGGUCAGAGAGUCUUGGAAGCCAGAGAUGUCAAGUCUGCUAGAGAGAGUCAGGGUUGAAGGUUGAAGACAGAAGGUUGAAGACAGAAGACAGAGAGUGCUGGAAGUCAGUGUGCUGGAGGGGGAAACUCAGCUGAAAUCACUAAGAAGAAAGAGAAGAGCCUGGCAGGAUUGAACCCCAGGCCUGUGCUGUAAUCAGAACUACCCAGCAAGCCAGAAGCUGUCAAGAAAGCACAGAGGACUCUGAGGAGGAACUAGUAUAGAGUCAGCUGCCUGUCUGCCCACUUUGAUGAUGAUGCCAUUUCCACACACCCCCCAGAUGGAAAGAGCACAGCACAUCUAUCCCAGCCACCUGUCCUAGCCUUCUGAGGUAACUGCAGGAGGAUGAUGCUGUUCCAUCGAUCCAGAGGAAAAGAGCAGCACAGCACUAUGAUGGUUGCCCAGCAGACUGUCUCUCAUGGGAGUUAUUCGCACAUGGUUUCAUGCUGCGAGGUGUUUUCAGAAAAACUCUCUUAAAACCAGCAUUUUAAAAACUUGGAAAUACCUCGAGAUAAGCUAGAAUUCGCAAGACAAAGCCUGACUUGUGUGUGGAGUGGGUCCAAGGAUCUUGAAGGGACUUCGAGGGCAGAGUUUCUCAAACUUGGGUCCCAAGAUAUUGUUGGAUUACAACUCCCAUCACUGCCUGCUGGUCCAUCAUGGCAUGCUUCACUCUGCACUCUCUAAAAACUGGGAAGAGUAGCUCACGAAACAGUUUGUUACACAAAUUACUUCAAAAGAGAUGCAAUGUUAUACAGCUGCAACGCAGCAAUAAAAUCGGAAAGAAGGCAUCAGAAAUGUGAACAGAAUCUUGCUUACUACGCAGGGACUGUGAUGUCAAGACAUAGGCAGUAUGGAAAGACACUGAAGGGACAUGUCAUGACACUGUGGCAGCAUGCAAUCUGGAAAGAGCCCUGGGCAUGUUUACUUAGGAGAAAGCCUCAUCGGGAACCUUGUGGAAAUAUUUCCAAGUAAACAUGCAUUGGAUGGUGCUGUAAUGAAGUUUCAGAGAAGACCAAGGAUGGCACCCUUGGAGAAGAGGCAACUGACCCAAAGAGUGCCUUUCUGGGGUGCUGACUGGAGCUUAUCUUCCCAAUUGCACAGAAUUUAGUAUUGUCUGAAGGGACAGUGAGAGGGGACUGGGGCUGGUUAAAUGGAACUGCAGCUCAGUGGUAGAACAUCUUGCUUUGUAAAUAGAAAGUCCAAGCCCUGCUGGGAGAGACCCAUUUGAAACCCUGGAGAAAUACCAGAAAGGCAUUUUCUGCUCUGCCAGUUAUGGACCAAUGAUCUAACUCAGUUUAACGCAGCUUCAUAUAUUCAAAGUGUAAACCAAGGAAUGCCUCUAAUGGUUGCUUUCAAAAAUCUAAAUGUGGUUCACUUUGGCGGGGGGCACUUUGUCUCUGAGUCUACUUUGUUAUUAGUCCCUAACUUAAUCCUGAAAGUGGGAAUGGUGGGGGGGGGGAGAGGGAGAGAUCUCAUAGGAACAUAUAUUUAAUCAGCUAAAAUUACUGCAGACAGCAUUAGGAAAAAUUAAUGUGUUGGUAUUUUACUUCUGUAGCAUAGCAAAGGAGUCUCAUUUAUAGAAAUAACAAAGCAGAUAACUUUUUUAAUAAGUACAUUUUUAUUUAAAAUAAAAAUUAGUUAUGGUGCCUUUUUAGACAGGGUACUGCACAAUCUGUAUAUGCAACACAGGUUUUUUUUUUGGUACAGAACAUAAGUAUUGAGCAAUAUCCUUAAAUGCGAGACGUACAUUAAUGGCUUGUCUUAGAAACAUGACAACAUUUAUUCUGAGAUUGAUUUUGGCCAUGAUCCAAGAAGCUCCAUGCACAACAUGAGGUUUCUCAACCUUCCCUCCCCAAACAGCCACCUUGGUGAAUGCACGAGGCAUUUGUGUGUUCUUUAAAAGAACUCUUUGGAUCGUGGCCAUCCUCUUUAGUCAUUUAACCACUGGUACAGAUUUUUCUAUGGACAAUAGCGGUUUGAAUCUGUACAUGUGGCACGCAGUCAAGAAGGCAGAUCUUAAGAGUAUUUACAUUCAUGCAUUAGGUUUUUUUUUAAUAUGCUAUCUUUGCAGUUUAAAAAUCAUAUAUUUUGUUCAUAGAGAUGCAGGGAGGGGUUGUAAAGAUAUAUAAAAAUAUAUUUAUAACAGUCACGAGUCUCCAUUGCCUUGGACUAUUUAGUUAUUAUAUAUACCUGUGCAAAGCAAGUGCAAAAUGGGCAUGACACUAUACCUAAAAAGGAGAGUUUUACACCCAUUUGGCAUGGUACAAACAAAGAUGCAGAGUGCGAGGCAAUGGAAAUUCAGGUCCAUACUUACAUUAUAUAUUGUCAUGAUUCUGUCAGAGUUAAAUGCCUGUAAGUCACAGUUCAAUGGAAGAAUAUUUAAAAUCGGGCUUUGUUCUACUCCCCCAUGGAAACAAAUGGGACUCAGAAGUGUUUAACUCUAACUGGAUCAUGCCCUCUAUGUAUAUCCCGUAAAUCUCUUAUCAUGGCAGAGAAAUUGCAAACCAAGAAAAAUCAUAGCUCUUUGGGUGAAACCAUGGUGCACAUUCAGCUAGACUUGUGGAGCUAUGUUAGGACUGAAAACCUUGCUGACUACAUGCCCCCCAGAUAUGUGGAGCCUUUUAGAAUCUAAUUUUAGAGAAUAAAAAUAAACUUUAAAUCCCUGUAAAUUGCUAUCUCGAAUUACCAAUUUUUAGUGCAAUGGGGCCCCAUUGUGAAGAAGCUUUUAUCUGUCAAGACUUGUAUAUUUCAUUGGUAUUAAAUUAAGUGUAUUGGAAAGCA